CCAUUGAGGGCCCGGGACAGGCCGCUUCCGGCGGCAGCGCUGCGACAUCUCCCGGCGCCCGGCCCACAGAGACCGUGGCGCGGGUCCCCCGCUUUUGGGGCCCGGCACGCUGAGUCCCGCCGGGUGUCCAGGGAGCCCGCCCGCUGAGCUCGGGGAGACUGAGGCUCGGGGUGCGGCGGGCAGGCGGGCAGGUCGGCAGGUCGUCCCUGCCUAGGGCGGCGGCGGCGCUGCGGGACCCCGUGCAGGUGUCUGUGACGUUUAAGGAUGUGACUGAGACCUUCACUCAGGAGGAGUGGAGGCAGCUAGACCUUACCCAGAGGACCUUAUACUGGAUGUGAUGCUGGAGACCUGCAGGCUUCUGGUUUCUCUGGGCUGCCCUCUGUCCAUAUCAGAACUGAUCUGCCAGAUAGAGCACAGCCAGGAGUUACAGAAGGUGAAGAGGGAACUUUCCCAAGGCUCCUGUCCACAUGGGUGCCAACAGGUGGAAGGCUGGGGUUGUGGCAGCUGGCGGACUUGGAGGUGACACUGCCUCUGAACUUCGAGGGAAUCAGAUUUGUGUGUGUGAUUCGUCGUUUACCGGUGACGAGUUCUGCUUCCUCUAAUGUUGAAGUUUGAACACUAGAGAAGCACA